GCUCUACAACCCUUUGUGAACAUACCUAUAACUGUUGCUUCGGCGGGUAGGGUCUCCGUGACCCUCCCGGCCUCCCGCCCCCGGGCGGGUCGGCGCCCGCCGGAGGAUAACCAAACUCUGAUUUAACGACGUUUCUUCUGAGUGGUACAAGCAAAUAAUCAAAACUUUUAACAACGGAUCUCUUGGUUCUGGCAUCGAUGAAGAACGCAGCGAAAUGCGAUAAGUAAUGUGAAUUGCAGAAUUCAGUGAAUCAUCGAAUCUUUGAACGCACAUUGCGCCCGCCAGCAUUCUGGCGGGCAUGCCUGUUCGAGCGUCAUUUCAACCCUCAAGCUCUGCUUGGUGUUGGGGCCCUACAGCUGAUGUAGGCCCUCAAAGGUAGUGGCGGACCCUCCCGGAGCCUCCUUUGCGUAGUAACUUUACGUCUCGCACUGGGAUCCGGAGGGACUCUUGCCGUAAAACCCCCCAAUUUUCCAAAGGUUGACCUCGGAUCAGGUAGGAAUACCCGCUGAACUUAAGCAUAUCAAUAAGCGGAGGAAAAGAAACCAACAGGGAUUGCCUCAGUAACGGCGAGUGAAGCGGCAACAGCUCAAAUUUGAAAUCUGGCCCUAGGCCCGAGUUGUAAUUUGCAGAGGAUGCUUUUGGUGCGGUGCCUUCCAAGUUCCCUAGAACGGGACGCCAGAGAGGGUGAGAGCCCCGUACAGUUGGACACCAAGCCUUUGUAAAGCUCCUUCGACGAGUCGAGUAGUUUGGGAAUGCUGCUCAAAAUGGGAGGUAUAUUUCUUCUAAAGCUAAAUACCGGCCAGAGACCGAUAGCGCACAAGUAGAGUGAUCGAAAGAUGAAAAGCACUUUGAAAAGAGGGUUAAACAGCACGUGAAAUUGUUAAAAGGGAAGCGCUUGUGACCAGACUUGCGUCCGGUGAAUCACCCAGCUCUCGCGGCUGGGGCACUUCGCCGGCUCAGGCCAGCAUCAGCUCGCUGUCGGGGACAAAAGCUUCAGGAACGUAGCUCUCUUCGGGGAGUGUUAUAGCCUGUUGCAUAAUACCCUUCGGCGGGCUGAGGUACGC
rnacentral:rRNA from 1 species